ACUAUGGGACGUUGGGUUGUGCUUCGCUCCAAUACAAGAUGGCUGACACUUGUUAGUAGUGUAUUUUCGUUUUAUCGAAUGUGUAAGUAUUUUAUAAAAAAAUCAGUGCCUUCAUAUUCAUGCACGUAUUGUGUGUGUAUGUUUGUACAAGUAGUACAGAAGUGGUCUUCCUUUUUUUACCAAAUAGUUCUCUUAUCAUGCAUUAUCAGGAGUCAUCAAAAUGUACCGUGAAAGUGCUAGAGACAGAAUAAUUAUCCGUCACCAGCCAUAUUCAUAUGUGUUCUUUUGUUAUGACAAUUGUGAUAUGUAUAAUUCCUGUGAAAUAUAGUGCCAAGGUGAAGUGAUAUCUCACUUUGUUGUUCUUCUAUUCCGUUAUUGGUGUUUUGUACAAGAUUCGUUCCACUACGAAAUAGAUUAAAUGAAAGGUCAUACAAUUGCGCUGCAGCCGGGGCAGAGGUGAGGGGAGGCCAGGCGGAGAUCGAAGAAGGGAUGAAUGGAACGGCGGCGUUGCGACGCAGCGUCGGGGGUGGCGGAGGCGCCGCCGGGGGUGGAACCGUUGAACCAGCACCCGUCGCCACCCUCGUCGUCUACAAGGACGAGGCCGGAUAUGGGAUGAAAGUCUCUGGUGAUAAUCCCGUCUAUGUUCAAUCUGUGAAGGAAGGUGGUGCAGCAGCAAGAGCAGGCCUUCAUGCGGGCGAUAAAAUCAUCAAGGUUAACGGCGUGAAUGUAAUGCAGUCCACGCAUACGGAUGUUGUACAGCUCAUAAAGUCUUCGACGCAGGUGGUACUGACGGUACAGCAAAAGCCAGUUGCAACGAGCAGCGCGGCGACGACGGCCACAGGGUUACAAGUUGGUCUAGCGGGUGGACAUCAGAGGCCAGUCAGUUUAUCAGCCGGUACCACAAUGGUAUCACCCUCGCAACCAGCGACUUCUUUACAUAGGGCAUCGACUGCUCCAGGCGCACCUUGUAAUGCACGUAUCACAGGACCUCAACCCGUUGAUCAUGAGAAAAAACGGCAAAUGGAAACUCAACGCGUUCAUACAUUCCAGCUUAUGUUGGAGAAAGAACAAAGUUAUGUUGAUAAGCUUCGUAGUGAACUUGCAAAAGCCAGCACUGGUAGUGGUAAUGUUAAUGUUGUAUCACUACAAACAGAAUUGGCGGGUGCCGAAAGAAGGGUGCGCACCAUGCAGGAACAACUAGCUGCGAUUACUACUAAUGAACAGCUUUGCUCGUUGGUAACAAACACCUCGUGUUCCCCGGGUUAUUAUUCACCCUUGAGUAGUUGCAGUGGUGAUGUACCACCGCCUCUACCAUCUCGUAAAUCCUUGUCCAUGCAAAGCCUGUCUCCGCCACCAUUGCCUCCCAGACCUCCGCCUACUACAAAUACGCACCACGUAGCCCAGUUGGAGCUGGAGCGUCAACUGUUGACUCAUUUAACGCCCUCAACCACCAGUCAUGGCAUACCUAACUCUCUUUCACAGGGUGCAAAUUUGGGUUCCUCAAAUUCACUUAAUAAGCAUCAACGAACAAAAUCCAGUCCAGAACAACUGGGAACCACAACUAUUUCUCCAUCAGAAGCUAGUAGACGUUUAAUAGCAUCAGAAUCAAUGAAUGAUCUUUCUCCUCCAAGACAUGUAAGGCAUAGCGAUAUUGACAUAGAUGAAUUACCUCAUAUCACUCCUCCAGGAACUCCACCUCCACCAUAUCCAGUUGCUAGUCCAGGAAAUGAUACUUCUGGUUCUACUAUCAAUGAUACAAUGUUAAAUGAAAGUAUUCCUGGAUUGCCAACAUUACAGCAGCCAAUCAUGUCAAUGGAAGAUGAUGAUAUGAGUGAUCAAGAAGUUGGGCAAUUAGAAGAUCAUGGUCCAUUCAAAUCUUUAUCCCGAUUAUGGGGACAUCAUGCACAUCUUGCUGUAUUUAUUAAUUAUGUUUUAUCAAAUAGUGAUCCCUCCAGUCUGUUGUUCUAUUUAGUAACGGAUCUGUACAAAGAAGGUAAUGCAAAAGAAAUGAGGAAAUGGGCAUAUGAAAUUCAUUCUAGUUUUUUAGUACCUGGUGCACCUCUUCGUCUGCAUAAUGUAGACGAAAAUGUAGCACAUGAAAUAGAUGAUGUUCUUUUGAAAGAAUCUGAUAAGGAAGAAAUUCUACGAAAAAUUUUUUGGAAAGCACGUACCCGCGCAAAAGAAGAAUUAAAUGAGCAACUAACAGAUUUUCAACAAAAGAGAACUGCUGGAUUAGGUACAUUAUUUGGUCCAAGUGAUGCUCAAUUGGAUGAAAGUGCAUCUGAUAAAACACGAGAAACAAAAAUUAUAGAAACAUACCUCUUACCUAAAAUGGAGCCUUAUUUAGAAGAUAUUGAAAAAGAACAUGUAGAUUUGCGACAAUUUACAACAGCAGCUGGUCUGGCAACAAUAUUAACAAAAAUUUUUCAAGUUCGACCAUUAUCGCUUGACCGAGUACCUACUUUUGUCGCAAAAGAUAAGUCAAAUCUCAAAGCGCGUUUACUUACGGGAAAAACAAGAAAAAUAUCAAUCAGAGGUCAUCAUUUUGUAGCUCAUCAAUACUUCACUAUUACCUAUUGUAAUCAUUGUCAACUUAUCAUUGGCGGAAUUGGACCUCAAGGAUACUUAUGUAGUGAUUGUUCUCUAAGUGUUCAUCGUCAAUGUGUUCGUGUAGUAGAAGAAAAUUGUCCAGGACCAUUGGUUAGAAAAGAAAGAGGCAAUGAUCGUAUAAGCAAAUUGAUGGAACGUAUCAGACCUGAAAGAAAACCACCAUCAUCACAUCAUCAUCACCAUUCUCAAAAUCACAUGCUUCAUGUUGAUAAAAUUAAAAGAAGUGAAGAAGACACUGGUGCAUUGACAGAUGGCGAAAAUGGAGAACAUCGCGGGGGCGUCAUAGCCGGAAACGCGCGUAGUAGUAGCGAAAGAGGACGCAUUUCCGCUUACAGCGGAGUCUCCGAUCACGCCGAUAGUAUGGACAAUCCUUCCUCGCGGGAAGAUAUUUCAGAAAUGGUGCAGCAAAAUAUUUCCAGUAAGCCAAAGACGUCAAACAUAAACAGGUCUGAAAGUUACAAGGAGCGGAUACAUCACAAGCGACAACUACGAGAGAAGAGAAAGACCAGCGACCCAAAUCUCUCUAAAACGAAGGCUGGUUUCAGUGACUCUGAACCGGCCGGGACAUUUCCCGGAAAUUCAGCGGGCAGUUCGUCGAACAGCAGUUUGUCGACGAGAAGUCUGGACAGUCCGAGUACCAGCCUGGAGCAGGUACAUCCAGCUACCUCCGCGGCCAACACAUCGACUUCGUGGGAUAGCGAUGUUGAUGUUGAACCGGAUCCUCCUGAUUGGAGUCAAGGUGUUGCCGAGGAUGUCCUCGCUCGGCUCAGCAAUGCCGAGAAAAAACGACAAGAAGUUAUCAAUGAACUCUUUCACACGGAGCGAUCUCACGUGCGGGCGCUGAGAGUGCUAUCACACGUCUUCCACAAGCCGCUCCUCGAAUCACAAGUACUUCCAUUAGACCAAAUACAAUUAUUAUUUUCCAAUCUAGACGAGAUGGUAACAAUUCAUUCACGCUUCAAUCAAGCGAUGAAGCGCAAGAAGAAGGAGAAUCCAUGCGUGGGCGAUGUCGGAGAUCUUCUUUUAGACAUGUUUGAUGGCGAGAACGGAGAAACCUUUGAGAGAGCUGCAUCUACUUAUUGUGCGAAACAACAAGUGGCUCUAGAUGCUCUGCGAGAUCGUCGUCGAAAAGAUCCGAAAUUGAACUCUUUCUUAAAUGAAAUUGAGGCUAAUCCUCUUUGUCGAAGGCUACAGCUCAAAGAUCAUAUAUUGACGGGGAUGCUCCGAUUGACAAAAUAUCCUUUACUCUUUGAAAAUUUGGCAAAAUACACGCCUGAAAGUAACGAAAAGGAAAGAGCUGCGGUUUUACGAAGUCUUGAUCGAAGUAAGGAAAUUCUCAGUUGUGUUAACCAAGCGGUACGCGAGGCAGAAGAUUAUCAAAGAUUGGCAGAGAUCCAACGUACCAUCGAUAGAUCUGCAUUUGAUAAAUUUGAUCAUCCAACUGUUCAGGAAUUCAAGAAUCUAGACAUUACGAAACGUAAAUUGAUCUACGAAGGUCCGUUACAAUGGCGUAGAACCGAACAGAAUAGAGCAAAACCGGUCGAUCUACAUGUGGUAUUGCUCGACGAUACGAUACUCCUGUUGCAUCGACAAGAUGAAAAGUACCUGCUGAAAUUUAUCAACCCAAAUCAAGCGAACUCUGUAUUGAGUCCCAUUGUAAAAGUAUCUACUGUUCUUGUCAGGCAUAAUGCCGUAGACAAAAAUUCUCUUUAUCUGGUCAAUACAUCGCAAAAUGGAGCGCAGAUCUAUGAUUUAGUAGCAGCCUCGCCUGCAGAACGAAAACAAUGGUUUAAACACAUCUCUGAAGCAGCUGAAGCAUAUAAGGCUCGUGAUAAACAAGGUAGAAGACCUACUCCACCUACUACACUGCCAGAAGAACCUGGACCUACGAUCGAAGAUUCUUCUUCGACAGAACAUGACAAUAUUCCUAAUAAAACAGAUCAGGAAGAACAAGAAUCAGAAACAAAGGAAUCUACGCAAGACACUAGCAUGGAACAAGAAGGAGAAACACCUAAUAUUCCUGGACCUGAGAUCUCAAGGAUUGAACAAACGAAACAGCAACAGCCACAACACUCAUCUGAACCUUCAAGCACAGGUACAGGAGAACCAUUACGAUUAGUUACUUGUACACAAGCAUCGUUAAUCGAUCCGCUUGAAGUUCAUGUAGAAGUACCACCUGUACAUGUUGCAGAACCAGUGCUUACACCAAUAGAAUGUCUUAGAAGAAAAGAUGAGAUUAUUAAGCAAGCAUUGAUCGAAAAACAAUUAUUAGUAGCAGAUAUAUUAAAUAUUCCAAAAGAAGAUUUUGAACAUGUGGCUGAUAUGGCAUCUGAACCAUCAAGUAUAGAAAAGGAACCUGCUGAACUUAUACUUGCUGCUAUUAGUCAAGCGAAUCAAUUGGUUGGAAUGUUAAAUUCUGCAUUAAAUGUAAGUGAAACGGAAACUGUUCUUGCAUCACGCGGGGCAUCGAUAUUAGCAACACCGCCAAGUUGUGAGGCAACUGGUUGUCCAUCACCUCGAAUGCAUCUUCAUCCACAACAACCAGCAAUAUCAAUUGCAAGUUUACAACCAAUUUGUCAUUCUUUAACUUCUCAAUUAUCACAAUUAUUGGAAAUUAUAAAAGAGAGAGAAGAAGAACGAGAGACAUUAAGAAAAGAGUUACGCAGAAGUAGAGAACGUCUUCAUGCUCUUGAUGCAGAUAUACAACGUCGUGAAUUUUCAGAAACAUGCACCGCAUCAAGUCAAACACAAACAGAACCCAGUUAGUUUCUCAAUUUUUUUAGAAUGUGAAGUUUUAAAUAAGGAUAGCAGUAUUGACGAUCCCACUCGUGAUGAAUUUGUAGAUGCACGUGGUGAAUUUGAGACAAACGAAGAAUUGGAACAUACAGAACACGAAACAGAAACAGAAGUAAUGGGAGAUAGUGUCGGUUGAAAGAUGCAAGAUAACGCAUUAAAUACAACUAGAUGCAUUUCACGAGCAAGAUCGUUUCCGAAUGCUCAUACUGGAAGAAAUCAAAAUUAUGUAAAAAAUGACAAAUGGCGAGUAGCUGUUUAUGGAAUAUAAUAAUAUUAGAUACAUAUUUACAGAGUCAUGGGUCGAUGAUUAAUCACACCUUUGCCAAAGAUUUUAUGUAACUGGAUUUACAUGAUGUACAUGAUGUAGCAGCGAAUGCAUGUAUACAUCAUAUUAUAUCAAUGACUGGAAAUUACAUAAAUUUUUUAUUGCCAAUAAUAUAACGAUGCAGUUUCUGAAAUAA
rnacentral:misc_RNA from 1 species